GCCACUUGUCACCUUUAUGAAACCUUCAUUCUCUUUGGUCUUUCCCACACCAACACAGAUCUAGGAGAAUCAGAAGACGGGGUGGGGAGAAUCAUAUGUUAUCAAAAGACUCAGAAAGAAUGCUGGCUGCCCCAAAGUACAGAGAUUGAAGAAGGGAUUUCAAGAGAGUGCUGUCUCAGAAGUGUAAGAACGGGAAAAAGAAGUAUGGACGUUGUUGAGUGCAUUUUCAACUCUAGCAGAGAAGGAGUAAGCGUUGGGCUGGCAAAACUAAAUUCUAGACAAGUCAACACUUCUUUUCACUAUUGCAUUGGCCACAUGUUCUUUCUUCCUACCGGAAAUGUUAUCACCUAUGUUAAAAAAAACUCCAGGAAUAAUAUACAUUCUUCUUAUGAAGGAGAAUAGGCUAAUUAGCUGAUUCAAUUAAUGGAGCCCCCAUUACAAAAGUAAUAUUCCUCUGUAUGCCAGAAUCAUCUAGGAAAUAAGCAGCAAAGAAAGAACAUUUCGCUACCCACUGAGUGCAUUGCUAGUGGCCUCCUUAGUUCUUGCAACGAAAUGCUGAUAUAGUUCAAGCAUUUUUUCUGCCAUAGCAAAAUAAUUUUGUUACCCAUCUUCUUCCCCUUCUCCCCUCCAAAGCGUGAUCCUGAGACACAAAAGAACACAACUAUUAUAACACAAAGCCUAUAAUUAAAGCAAGUUGUAAUAAGUCAUCCUGCUGCAUUGAAACAUGCAUGUGAACACACACACAUAUAUACAAUGCUAAUUUUUGCUACUUUCCAAAGCCCUUGUUCUCCCCAGGACUGUCCUCCUUCAUAAUUAGAUGUUAUUAUGAUUUCCAGAUAGUAACCUUUUCAAAUUCAAUCCCCUUCAAUCUCUCUCUGUCACUGUCUCUGUCUCUGACUCUCUCUCUUUCUCUCUCUCUGUGUGUGUGUGUGUGUGUGUGUGUGUGUGUGUGUGUACUGAAUGGCAGUGCCCUUAUCCUCAGUCUCCUGCACU